rnacentral:misc_RNA from 1 species
AUUUUUGAAGAAAGAUAUCUCACUUCCAGGUAUGAUUUUUGGAGGAUCCUCCUUAGCAUCUGGACCACACACGUAUCCAUGCCCUUUAUGCCAAACCAAAUGAGGUGGCUUAGGAGCAUGUAAUGAACCCUCUGGCAAAUUAAUGAAAAACCCAAUAACAUCCCUUUCCUUAUACCCUUCAUCCCCGUACUUCUCUCUCAAUGCCUUGUGCACUUUACUCCCAUCAAUAUCUCUAUACCCAAAACUAUUUCCAUCGUACCCAACCGGCGCUUGCAGGUCGCCUUUCUCUGUAGACCAACCAAGACGAGUGUGUCCCGUCUCUCCCAAGCUCACCACUUUAAUCUCAAAGUACCAGGCCCCCUCACAAACCCCUCUCGUAGUUCUUACCAUUCUAUACCCUUUCGAACUUCCAGCACUCAAUCUAUCUUCACUCA